rnacentral:pre_miRNA from 1 species
GCGUUGAGCGCCACCGGACGGGGAUUUAUGCUGUAUCUUACUACCAUGAUCCCAUGUUGCUGGCGCUCACGG